UUUUAUUAAAAGAAAAGGGUGAAAAGAACAAAGUUUUGUCCAUCUUUGUUCAUCAUAGCUGAAAGUUAGAGAAGAGAAAGGAGAGGAGAAAGCUCUUGAGUAUUUGGUCAUUAGGAGGAGGAAAAUUGAAGGCAGUUCGUGUGUGGAUCUCGUCAGCAUAUCGUCGCAAACAGGUGUGUAACUAACACCCUCUUUCUUAGUCUAGAUCGGCAAAAGCCGAAAUGCCGAAACCGGUAUUUUGUAGAUUUGCGAAAAAGAAUGCUCGUGAGGUAAAUCGAUUAAUGUUUUUGGUAAGCUGCAAUGUUUGGACUGCAAAGUGCAUGAUUUACGUGCUCGAUAUUUUUGGGCUUAAUGGGCCAAAAUUGGAAUGAUGGGCUAAUCGGCCCAAUUCGGUAAGAACCCUCGACGUGAUUCUCGUUAGUACGUGAAAGGUAGGAAUAUGCACGAAAAACCCUAAAAUAGAUAAAUUACUGAAAUACCUUUAAAAAUAGAAAAUUUACGCUUUACCCUAGUAGAUAAAUUACCAAAUACCCCUAGGUUAAAUUGACCUAAAUGCAUGUUUGAUCGUUGUUAUUUAUCGCAUGCCAUGUUGUUAUUAUCGAUGCAUGGACCGGAUAUUGACGGAGGAAGUACCGAAAGUGGCUUGUCCACAUCUUGGAGGCUUUGCCUCAAUUUAUCGUUAAUCGAGCAAGCAAGGUCGCAAGAAUCAGGAGUGUUAAUGGGUGGGUUGAGCUAUUCCCACAUGGAGUGUAUGGCUGGUACGGUGGAGUGUAGUGGUUGGUGGGUUGAGUAGUCUCCCAAAUAGGCUUGCAUAUGUUUACCGAUGUUGUAUGUAUUUUGAAAUGGGCCUAUGGGCCAUACCGUUAUCUCAAUAAGGGCUAAGGCCCAGUUUAUUGUAAUCUGAAAAGGGCUCUCGCCAGACCACUGUUACCCAAAUGGGCUUGCAUAUGUUUACCGAUGUUGCAUGUAUUUUGAAAUGGGCCUAUGGGCCAUAUUGUUAUCUCAAUAAGGGCUAAGGCCCGUUUAUUGUAAUCGAAAAGGCUCGCCCAAGAUCACUUUACUGAAUGGGCUUAGCCCAAUAGGCUUGAGUGACUUGGGCUUUGAAUGGGUUUUCCUUACACACGAGUUUCCCCAAACUCACCCCUUUUAUUUUCAUCCACACAGAAAUCCUCAACCAUAGUGGGCUUGGAGUCGUGAGGGAAUUGAGUGGCCACCCGUUCAGAAAGUUUGAUUUUCUUCUGGUGAACUGGACAUCCUUUUAAUUACGUUUGAGGUUUUGGGCUUUUAAAUGUAAUAAGGCCGCUUAUUUAUUUUUGAUGGUUUUUAUAUGUUUUAUUAAGAUAGAUAAUAUUUAUUUUAACUGUUGAAAUUGGAUAGCUUUAGGCUGCUUUUCAAAAACAACAGUUGAUUUCAAAAUAACACGACAACAAGCAAAGCUUCCAAUGAAAGUAUUUUCCCAAAUUAAUCACUUUUCCUAAAAUGACUUAAUCAAAUCGGUUUCCUAGAAAUAUCUAUGACGUUAAGGUGUGGCAAUGGCGGUAUGCAUGUCUAGGAUUGGAUCCGAAGGGAGCUUGGUACUUAAGCAGUCCGAUGGACUCACCACCUCUUUUCCGGUUUCCUACCUGGUGCACAGCUUCCUUUCACUUUAACCCUUAAUGAAUUAAUCUUUUGAACAUCAAGUACGAUUUUCGGACUUAGAAUGGAAAUUUUUUUACGCUUUGAUGUGGCAUGCGGAUCCCGCCAUAACUUCGGGCCGGGUUUGGGGUGCUACAUUUAGUGGUAUCGAGCCCGCCAUACAACAACUCGGUGUGGAAUGGGUUUACAAAACAAAGAUUUUCAAAACGAAAAUUUUAUAAAGAAUGCGAAAAACUCGAUUUUCAAAAUUUAGAUCUUUAGAAGGUGGCAUUCAAUCUCCUACCAAGUCUGUAAGUAUUACUCGAACUUUUCAAUAUUUUUCGACUUAUCUGUCAUCUUCAAAUCCUGCUAGGAUACUCUAGAUAGGAUGAUACUGAAACCAUAGGAAAAUCGAUAAGAGAUCAAAUCGUAGCUAGACUUCGAUUCUGCGAAAACAAACUCGAACUAUCAUUCGAUUCAUAAAACAUCGUAAUAAACACUGGAAUAUUAAUUGAUGCAUAAAAAUUCGUAAUCAAGAUAAUACGAUAUGAGUACAAGAGGCCGUGGACGGAGCCGAGAAAGUGCUCGAGCGAGAUCUUCGUCUUCGAGACAUAUACCGGCGGUGGAUGCACCGGUACCACCGGCAACAGAGGUAGAGUCUCAUGACCGCGGUGCCGAGGAUGAUGCCCUGUCACAGGCAAUGCUUCGUGUUCUAGAAAGGGUUGCUGGAGCAAGUUCGGCAAUGAAAUUCAGGGAUCUAUUUCUAAAUGACUUCGGACUAACGGAACGGAGAUCUUUAAGGCGUGUCGGUAUAGCCCGAAUGUGGCGUAAUAUUGGUUAGAGGCCACGAACAAUUAUCGACGACUUGAACCGCUCCGAGGAGAUUGUGAGUGGGGUAUCUGUACUAAGUCCUUGGGUCACUUUGGUUAGGGUAGACAAAUCAGAUAGGAAUGUACCCUUAGAAACUCAAGGUAAGAUUUUCCUGAGAUCUAAUGGAGUUACCAUUCGAGAGUUUGAUCUCAUUUUGGGAAUGGACUGGCUUGUUAAGCAUAAAGCGACUCUGGAUUGUGCUGCUAAACGAAUGGUGUUAAGAACUACAAAGGAUGAGGAGGUUAUGGUGAUAGGUGGGAGAAGGGAUUAUUUGUCCAAUGUGGUGUCGGCAUUAAGGGCCGAAAAGUGGAUUCGGAAAGGUUGUGAGGUCUAUUUGGUAUUUGUAAGUCAGUCGAAAGAGAAGGGACUGACAGUGGAUAAGGUUAGGAUCGUAAAGGAGUUCUAAGAUAUUUUUCUGGAGGAGCUUCCAGGAUUGCCUCCGAACCGAGAAGUUGAGUUUGGAAUAGACUUGUUGCCUGGAAUGACGCCUGUGUCUAUCGCACCGUAUAGGAUGGCACCGAAGGAGUUAGUAGAGUUAAAUGCUCAAAUUCAAGAGUUGUUGGAUAGAGGCUUUAUUAGGCCAAGCGUGUCUCCAUGGGGAGCACCAGUGCUAUUCGUGAAAAAGAAGGAUGGUACGAUGCGAUGUGCAUUGAUUAUCGCCAGUUGAACAAACUGACGAUUAAGAAUAAGUAUCCACUGCCAAUGAUUGACGAUCUAUUCGACCAGCUUAGAGGAGCUUCUGUAUUUUCCAAGAUCGACCUUCGAUCUGGAUAUCAUCAGUUAAGGGUCAAGGAGGCGAUAUCCAAAAGACGACAUUCGUGACUCGGUAUGGUCAUUACGAGUUUCGGUUAUGCCAUUUGGACUAACGAACGCCUCAGAAGCGCUUACGGAUCUGAUGAAUCGUGUGUUCCAACCAUUUUGGAUCAGUUCAUAGUCGUCUUUAUUGACGAUAUCCCGGUAUAUUCAAACCAAACGAAACAUGAUGAGCAUCUCCGUAUAGUCUUUGUAAGUAUUAAGGAGAAGGAACUCUUUGCGAAGUUCAGCAAGUGUGAAUUUUGGUUGAGGGAGGUAACCUUCUUAGGACAUGUGGUCUCUGUUGAGGGGAUUAAGGUGGACUCUCAGAAAAUUAAAGCGAUUUUGGAGUGGAAGCCGUCUAGGUCAGUGUCGGAAAUACGGAGUUUCCUAGGACUGACAGGAUACUACAGAACGUUUGUGGAAGGUUUUUCUGUGAUAGCAGCACCUCUGACAAAACACAUAAGGAAAGGAGUACCAUUUGUAUGGACUAAGAAACAACAGGAAGCUUUUGAGAAGUUGAAGAAAGUUCUAACUGAAGCACUUGUGUUAAUUCAGCCGGAGUCUGGGAAUGAUUUUACUAUGUAUAGUGACGCAUCACACGUGGGUUUGGGCUGCGUGUUAAUGCAAGAGGGCAAGGUGGUUGCAUGUGCAUCACGAUAGCUUAAGCCUCAUGAGGGAAACUAUUUGACUCAUGAUUUAGAGUUGGCAGCAGUGAUAUUUGCACUUAAGAUUUGGAGACAUUACUUGUACGGAGAAAGGUGUAUUAUAUACACUGACCAUAAGAGUCUUAAGUAUUUGUUGACUCAGAAGGAGCUGAACCUUAGGCAAAGGAGAUGGAUUGAGUUGCUUAAAGAUUAUGACUGUUCGAUCGAGUAUCACCCAAGCAAGGCUAAUGUGGUAGCCGAUGCUCUAAGUCGUAGAGCUGUAUCUGAUCUGAGAGCAAUGUUUGCUCGUCUGAGUCUGUAUGAUAAUUGGCAGUUUGUUGGCUGAAUUGCAAGUGAAGCCAACCUGGGUGGACCAGAUUAAGGAAAAGCAGUUGGAAGAUGAGUCUUUGGUCGCUCGUUUUCAACAAGUUAAGGAAGGGGAAACUUCUGAGUUUGGGAGCCAGAAGAGACGAUGCAACAGCAAUACCCUCAUCUGUUUGGAUUAGGUAAAUUUCGAGGACGAAAUUUCUUUAAGGAGGGUAGAGUUGUAACGCCCCAAUUUUCUGGAAUUCUGCGAAUGUUGGCAAAAUUUCAUGCUUUGAUUUUGUCAUUUGUGAGUGAAAUUAUGAAAUAGGACCUAUGUGAAAAUGUUUGAAAAUGCUAUAGGUUAAAUUGAAGUGGCCAAAUAAAUAGGAGUGCAAAAUAGGAGGAUUUGCAUGACAAACCUCCCAUUUUACAUGAAGUGGCUAGCCAUCAUGUUGUUGUAGACAAAAUGUACACUUGAUAUCCAUAAUUUAUGGUACAAAUUGAUACAAAUUGAUAAUAGGUUAGGUAAAUGUUCCAUGAUAAUGGGUUAGGUAAAUGUUUCAUGAUAAUAGGUUAGGUAAAUGUUCCAUGAUAAUGGGUUAGGUAAAUGUUUCAUGAUAAUGGGUUAGGUAAAUGUUUCAUGAUAAGAAUAUCAUGUCUUUUGUAUUAAAGAAUUAAAUGGAUGAAAUAUGAAGUUUUAUUAAAAGAAAAAGGGGUGAAAAGAACAAAGUUUUGUCCAUCUUUGUUCAUCAUAGCUGAAAGUUAGAGAAGAGAAAUGAGAGGAGAAAGCUCUUGAGUAUUUGGUCAUUAGGAGGAGGAAAAUUGAAGGUGUGGUUGGCCGAAUAUUGUAAGGGGUUAAUACGUAGUUCGUAUUUGAACAGUUAGAUUAAUGUGUUAGUAAUCCAAUUGUAGGC